UACAGAGGGCUCAAGCGUUGUUCGGAUUCAUUGGGCGUAAAGGGUGCGUAGGCGGCGCGGUAAGUCGGGUGUGAAAUCUUGGAGCUUAACUCCGAAACUGCAUUCGAUACUGCCGUGCUUGAGGACUGGAGAGGAGACUGGAAUUUACGGUGUAGCGGUGAAAUGCGUAGAUAUCGUAAGGAAGACCAGUGGCGAAGGCGGGUCCCUGGACAGUUCCUGACGCUGAGGCACGAAGGCCAGGGGAGCAAACGGG
rnacentral:rRNA from 1 species